UGACCUCGGAUCAGACGUGAUUACCCGCUGAAUUUAAGCAUAUUAUUAAGCGGAGGAAAAGAAACUAACAAGGAUUCCCCUAGUAACGGCGAGUGAACGGGGAAGAGCCCAACACCGAAUCCCUUGGCGCAAGUCAACGGGAAAUGUGGUGUUAAGGUAGCCCUUCGUGUCAGUCUAGGCGUCUCAAGUCCACCUGAUUGUGGCUCAAGCCCAGAGAGGGUGUAAGGCCCGUAGAGACGCUCCGACUGAUUCCUGGGGUUUACCUACGAGUCGGCUUGUUUGGGAAUGCAGGCCAAAGCGGGUGGUAAACUCCAUCCAAGGCUAAAUACUGGCACGAGUCCGAUAGCGGACAAGUACCGUGAGGGAAAGUUGAAAAGAACUUUGAAGAGAGAGUUCAAUAGUACGUGAAACCGCUUAGAGGCAAACGGAUGGUGCUCAUACUGGCCUGAGGAAUUCAACUGUGACGGUGGCUGGACGAGCUGGCGUUCCGAUCUCUCUUUUGGGACGGGCGUCGGUUUGGCUAUCAGCUCCGACAUGGUGCACUUUCCUUGGUGCCUCCGCCACGACCGACGACACUGGCUACCGCGCGGCUGGGGUAAGGUGACAAACUGCUUCGGCAAUUUGUGUUAUAGACCCCGGCGUCGGACAUGGUUUGGCCAGGACGUCGAGCUUGCGGCGCCCGCUCCUUGUGGGCUCGCAUGUUGGCUAGCUUGGCUGCGCCGAUGCUUGCACUGGACAACCAGUACAGGUGACGGUUGUGGUCUUGUCUCUAGUUGGCCUCUGCGAGUUUGGCGCCUAUAGUCUGUGGUGUACUUGUGGGUAGACUAUCCGACCCGUCUUGAAACACGGACCAAGGAGUCUAACAUGUGCGCGAGUCAUGGGGAUUCUACGAAACCCAAAGGCGCAGUGAAAGUAAAGGCCUGCUUCUCGUAGGCUGAGGUGGGAUCUCGUGCAUCGCGAUUGGCGAGCGCACCACCGGCCCGUCCUAUCUGUCUCUGUCAGUGGGGCGGCGCAAGAGCGUACACGUUGGGACCCGAAAGAUGGUGAACUAUGCUUGCGCAGCUCGAAGUCAGUGGAAACACUGAUGGAGGAGCGCAGCAGCGUUUCUGACGUGCAAAUCGAUCGUCAAACGUGAGUAUAGGGGCGAAAGACUAAUCGAACCAUCUAGUAGCUGGUUCCCUCCGAAGUUUCCCUCAGGAUAGCUGGCACUCGGGAAACAGUUUUAUCCGGUAAAGCGAAUGAUUAGAGGCAUUGGGGUCGAAACGACCUCGACCUAUUCUCAAACUUUAAAUGGGUAAGAUGCUCGUCUCGCUUAAUUGGAGGCGGGCUUCACCUCUCUAUAAACGUGAAUGUGAGUGCCCAGUGGGCCAUUUUUGGUAAGCAGAACUGGCGCUGUGGGAUGAACCAAACGCGCGGUUAAGGCGCCCAAUGCGGACGCUCAUGAGACACCACAAAAGGUGUUGGUCGAUACUGACAGCAGGACGGUGGCCAUGGAAGUCGGAACCCGCUAAGGAGUGUGUAACAACUCACCUGCCGAAUCAACCAGCCCUGAAAAUGGAUGGCGCUGGAGCGUCGGGCCUAUACCGUGCCGUUGGGGCGAAGCAGACAAAUAAUCUGUGUGGAUGUCCCAACGAGUAGGAGGGUCGCCGUGGUGAGCGCAGAAGGUGCGGCCGUGAGGCCGGCUGGAGCCGCCACGGGCGCAGAUCUUGGUGGUAGUAGCAAUUACUCAAGUGAGAACCUUGAGGACUGAAGUGGAGAAGGGUUCCAUGUGAACAGCAGUUGAACAUGGGUCAGGCGGUCCUAAGCGAUCGGGUAACUCCGUACCUAGACGAGGGUGACAACUAUCACUGAUAAUACUGUGAAGUGUUAUAGCCCUCCGGAGCGAAAGGGAAUCGUGUUAAUAUUCACGACCCUUACCGUGGAGAUCGCCCCUUUCGGGGGGCAAGUGCGGUAACGCAAACGAACACAGAGACGUCGGCUGGAGCCCCGGGAAGAGUUCUCUUUUCUUUGUAAGGAGCGUACCCCCUGGAAUCGGCUUGUCCGGAGAUAGGGGCGUGGCUUCCGUAAAGCAGCGCGGGUCUUGCGCUGUCCGGUGCACUCUAGUCGGCCCUUGAAAAUCUGUGGGAGACAGUGUGAUUUUCACGGUAGGCCGUACCCAUAUCCGCAGCAGGUCUCCAAGGUGAACAGCCUCUAGUCCUAGAACAAUGUAGGUAAGGGAAGUCGGCAAAAUGGAUCCGUAACUUCGGGAAAAGGAUUGGCUCUGAGGGCUGGGUCGGAUGGGCUGGCGUAAGAAGCUGUUCCGGUUUUGGUGAGGACUGGGUGAGGCUUUCGGGCUUUACUCGGACCAUGCCGAGACCAGGCAGUAGACGACGUCAGCUGUGCUUGUCGUGUUUCGGCGCGGCAGCUUCGUCCGGCAACAAACAGCCAACUCAGAAACUGGCACGGACUAGGGGAAUCCGACUGUCUAAUUUAAAACAAAGCAUUGCGAAUGGCUGUG
rfam:Macrostomum lignano unitig_49200, whole genome shotgun sequence.